rnacentral:pre_miRNA from 17 species
UGUUACCCUGACACUGUGUAUGAGUAGCACAAACGGAACCCCAAAAGUAGCUGUGAGCCUAGAAAUCGGCUGCUGUUGGGUUCUGUUACUGCUAGUCGUGGACUCACUGCUGGAAUGUCU